rnacentral:rRNA from 1 species
AGGACGAACGCUGGCGGCGUGCUUAAAACAUGCAAGUCGAACGGAGACCAUGGAGUCGCAAGACUCCGGAAGUCUGAGUGGCGAACGGGUGCGUAACACGUGAGGAACCUGCCCCAGAGACCGGGAUAACCCUCCGAAAGGAGAGCUAAUACCGGAUGUCCUCAUCGGAUCACCUGGUCUGAUGAGGAAAUGGAUUCCGCUCUGGGAUGGCCUCGCGGCCUAUCAGCUUGUUGGUGGGGUAAUGGCCUACCAAGGCGACGACGGGUAGCUGGUCUGAGAGGACGAUCAGCCACACUGGGACUGAGACACGGCCCAGACUCCACGGGAGCAGCAGUUA